AGUAGUUGUAUUAGUGCACGAGGACGACGUUGGCGGCGCGCCUAACACAUGCAAGUCGGACGGAGAGCGUUAUUUUGAAUUCUUCGGAAGGAAAGAUACGUUUCUUAGUGGCGGACGGGUGAGUAACACGUGAGCAACCUGCCUUGCAGAGGAGGGAUAACGAUUGGAAACGAUCGCUAAUACCACAUAACAUAUGGAUAUCGCAUGAUGACCAUAUCAAAGAUUUAUCGCUGCAAGAUGGGCUCGCGUCUGAUUAGAUAGUUGGUGGGGUAACGGCUCACCAAGUCGACGAUCAGUAGCCGGACUGAGAGGUUGAACGGCCACAUUGGGACUGAGACACGGCCCAGACUCCUACGGGAGGCAGCAGUGGGGGAUAUUGCACAAUGGGGGAAAAACCCCCUGAUGCAGCGACGCCGCGUGAGGGAAGAAGGUUUUCGGAUUGUAAACCUCUGUCUUUGGGGACGAUAAUGACGGUACCCAAGGAGGAAGCUCCGGCUAACUACGUGCCAGCCGCCGC
rnacentral:rRNA from 1 species